UAUAAAGCAGAGAAGAGGAAAGUAACUUUAAAAAUACUUUUACAGAGAGUUUCUAAUGGUGAGAGGAAGCAAAGGAUAUUAAAGUGAAAAUGGCCUUGGAGCGGUGCACCGAGAUUUUUUAAAUUAAGGCUGCAACGGGUUCAUCCGUUAUAGUGAUAGAGUAUAAUCAUAUAGAUUUAUAUAUGACGUACUUGAAGAGGUAUAUAUUGCGAAGUAUAUAUAAAUUAGGAUGGUAACACGAAGUUUAGCUCUCGUUCCUAGG
rnacentral:ncRNA from 1 species